ACGCUGGCGGCGUGCCUAAUACAUGCAAGUCGAACGCUUCUUUUUCCACCGGAGCUUGCUCCACCGGAAAAAGAGGAGUGGCGAACGGGUGAGUAACACGUGGGUAACCUGCCCAUCAGAAGGGGAUAACACUUGGAAACAGGUGCUAAUACCGUAUAACAAUCGAAACCGCAUGGUUUUGAUUUGAAAGGCGCUUUCGGGUGUCGCUGAUGGAUGGACCCGCGGUGCAUUAGCUAGUUGGUGAGGUAACGGCUCACCAAGGCCACGAUGCAUAGCCGACCUGAGAGGGUGAUCGGCCACAUUGGGACUGAGACACGGCCCAAACUCCUACGGGAGGCAGCAGUAGGGAAUCUUCGGCAAUGGACGAAAGUCUGACCGAGCAACGCCGCGUGAGUGAAGAAGGUUUUCGGAUCGUAAAACUCUGUUGUUAGAGAAGAACAAGGAUGAGAGUAACUGUUCAUCCCUUGACGGUAUCUAACCAGAAAGCCACGGCUAACUACGUGCCAGCAGCCGCGGUAAUACGUAGGUGGCAAGCGUUGUCCCGGAUUUAUUGGGGCGUAAAGCGAGCGCAGGCGGUUUUCUUAAAGUCUGAUGUG
rnacentral:rRNA from 1 species